UUAAGCCGUGUCUAUCUGUUAAUAAAAAGUAGUUGGUUUUGGUCUAUUGUCUUUCAAAUUGUCACGAUAAUGUCCAAAAAUUAAUAACUUGUUUUAAACUUGUUUUAGAUAGAAUUUUAAUCAUCAUAUUGUUAAUGAUGAUAUUGAAACAUUAGAUAUGAAUUAAAAUGUGUUCUUGUAUGUUUGUAUAUCACCCUUUAUUUAUAUCUCUAUCCUCUCUAAUUUUUGUAAAGGUUCCGGUUUGAAGGAUAGAGUAGUUGCUAUUCCAAGCACAAUUGAAACAUCGGCUCAUGUCUCAAGCAGUAGCAUGCUGGAGGAGUUAGGAGUGAAGGCGCUUGGCGAGCGCGACUCUAUGGCGCUCGGCCCUAUAACAAAAAAACAUUUUUAUUAGUAAACAGGAAAUAGAAGCAAAUAAGAAGAAUAAAA